GUGUAUAUAAUAGGGUUGUAGUAGUAGAAAAUAGAUAAAUUAGGGUCCAAAAACCUAAAGCCCACAAUCUAGAAAAACCCUAAUCAUACUAACAAUUUAAUCAAUAAAAAACAUUUAAAAAAAAGAAAAGAAAUUCGACAUCACCAAGGAUGGGGGCGGUACCCCAUAUGAAAAAAUCACUGGCUAAUGGCCGAGCGCCACGUGUUCCCUUUUUAUAAAAAUAUAAAAACAAAAAAUUAAAGUAGAGAUGAAAAUGAGUUAUCUUCCUCUCUCUCUCACUCGUCAUUUGCAUUACUUCCCUCUUUGAAAAGA
rnacentral:lncRNA from 1 species